rnacentral:rRNA from 1 species
GUCUACAGCCAUGCUACCUGAACAAGCCCGAUCUUGUCUAAUCUCGGAAGCUAAGCAGGGUUGGGUUUGGUUAGUACUUCGAUGGGAGACCACCUAGGAAGACCAGGUACUAUAGGUG